UAUUUCUUGUAGGUAAUCUGCUAGCCACUGUGUAUUGCUCUGAGCGUUGCUCCAACUUGCUUGAAAUACCCCUGACGAGGCGAUGCACUGGCACACUCACGCAUUCUAUACGGCGCAAAUAUGCCGACAAAUACGCUGCGAUGGAUGCACCCUAUGCCUUAUUUUCGGUCGACCCGCUAAUGCUGAAUGUUUUCAUCACAAUUUAUGACUCGCCCGUGAUAAGCUGUGAGAAGCUGAUGGUGAACGACUCUAAUCACUUUGUCUGCAAUGAACAAGAGAUUAAGAUAAUGUAUUCAAGAAUGGUGUGCUACGAGUAUCCCAUGCGUUAUUUGGGUGCGCUGAGAGACAAUUGCAUGCGUACAAGGAAUGUCGCCUAUCACUCCAUAGAGCAAUCCAUUCUACACUACGCAGAUUUCUCAAGUAUGGCUGAAUCAAAGAUUGCAAAUUGUUGGCUAUUGAUCGUUUGUAUUGUAAUUGAUUUCAAAUUGAUGGAGUAGUGAAACUAUAGGCUGAAGGUAUUAAAUUGAAUCGUUGGAAGGACCAUUCAAAGUAAUGUAAAACUGCAGCAGGUACGUGCGAUUCCAGAGAUUAAGUGUGUUGAAAGAAAAUUCGCUGUUAAAUUGAUUUACAUAUUCGUACAUGUCUGAAAAGGACUGCAGCAAACAAAGCAAAAACACUGAGAAAGAGAGAGAUAUAUAUAUAUAGAGUGGGGGAGAGAGAAAUGUAGAGUAUGUAAAUAAAUAAAAUUGAAGCGACGAAUGUAUGUGAAUAAAAAC
rnacentral:sRNA from 1 species